AGCAAGAUGGGAGACUCCAGAGGUACCCAGGCCAGCUAUCCCAGCAUGCACAGCAGGGAAUGACAAGAUGUUCUCUGCCUCAAACAAGGUGGAAGUAGUGUGCACAGAACCUUCAGCACUGUGAAGGUUUGCCAGUACGGAUCAAGAUUCCAGGAUUUCUACUGCCGUGAAGAGACACCAUGACCACAGCAAUACUUAUAAAGGACAGUCCACCGCCAUCAUGGCAGGAAGCAUGGUGGCAGACAGGAAGACAUGGUUCUGGAGAGGUGGCU